AGAUUGUGCGUUCCAUCCAAGACUUGUUCGCUUCCUGGAGGCAAGUCAAGACAUCUCGCCCUGCUCCAGUUGGUCGUCCUGCUACUUCUUCAGAGGAAGAUAUGAAGUUCCUCAAGCAGUCGAUAUUUGAGUACGUGUCCUUCAUGGAUAUGGACAUUGGAAAGGCUAGUGCUGCCAGACAUAAGGAUAAACUUGAGCAUUUGAAUGCGAAGUUGGAG
rnacentral:lncRNA from 1 species